rnacentral:rRNA from 1 species
UACGUAGGGUGCGAGCGUUAAUCGGAAUUACUGGGCGUAAAGCGUGUGCAGGCGGUUCGUUGUGUCGGCGGUGAAAGCCCCGGGCUUAACCUGGGAAUGGCCGUCGAAACUGGCGAACUGGAGUGUGGCAGAGGGGGGUGGAAUUCCGCGUGUAGCAGUGAAAUGCGUAGAGAUGCGGAGGAACACCGAUGGCGAAGGCAGCCCCCUGGGCUGACACUGACGCUCAGGCACGAAAGCGUGGGGAGCAAACAGG